GCCGCUGUGAAAUAGAGGGCUGUGGGACGGUCCUCGCACACCCACGUUACUUACAGCACCAUAUAAAAUACCAGCACCUGCUAAAAAAGAAGUACAUGUGUGAUCAUCCCUCGUGCGGACGCUUGUUUCGUCUCCAGAAGCAGCUGCUGCGCCAUGCCAAACACCACACAGAUCAGAGGGACUACAUCUAUGAGUUUUGUGCACGAGCCUUCAAGAGUUCCCACAACCUGGCUGUGCACAGGAUGAUCCACACAGGGGAGAAGCCGAUACAGUGAGUAGGGUGAACAUGUGUCAUGCACGCCCCGACAUGUGCUGCGUACGAGGAAGUAGAUCAAAAAUAGACAUGACGUGAUCGUCAUCAGCAUGAUUUCAAAUAUGUCUAAUUUUUUAUAGAAUUCUUGAUUUUCAAUAAACCCAAAUUCCUUUCAAAUCACCAGUCUAUGUGGUCUUCCACCAUCAACGUACAAUACACGAAGACGUUUUUUUUUAA